UACAGAGGUCUCAAGCGUUGUUCGGAUUCAUUGGGCGUAAAGGGUGCGUAGGCGGCGCGGUAAGUCGGGUGUGAAAUCUCGGAGCUUAACUCCGAAACUGCAUUCGAUACUGCCGUGCUUGAGGACUGGAGAGGAGACUGGAAUUUACGGUGUAGCGGUGAAAUGCGUAGAUAUCGUAAGGAAGACCAGUGGCGAAGGCGGGUCUCUGGACAGUUCCUGACGCUGAGAAGCGAAAGCAUGGGGAGCGAACAGG
rnacentral:rRNA from 1 species